CGCGAAGAACCUUACCAACUCUUGACAUCCCAUUGACCGCUUGAGAGAUCAAGUUUUCCCUUCGGGGACAAUGGUGACAGGUGGUGCAUGGUUGUCGUCAGCUCGUGUCGUGAGAUGUUGGGUUAAGUCCCGCAACGAGCGCAACCCCUAUCCUUAGUUGCCAGCAUUCAGUUGGGCACUCUAGGGAGACUGCCGGUGACAAACCGGAGGAAGGUGGGGAUGACGUCAAAUCAUCAUGCCCCUUAUGAGUUGGGCUACACACGUGCUUCAAUGGACGGUACAAAGGGCAGCGAGACCGCGAGGUGGAGCCAAUCCCAUAAAGCCGUUCCCAGUUCGGAUUGCAGGCUGCAACUCGCCUGCAUGAAGUCGGAAUCGCUAGUAAUCGCAGGUCAGCAUACUGCGGUGAAUACGUUCCCGGGUCUUGUACACACCGCCCGUCACACCACGAGAGUUUGCAACACCCGGAGCCGGUGAGUAAC
rnacentral:rRNA from 1 species